CAGGCUCCUCCGUCCAUGGGAUUUUCUAGGCAAGAGUACUGGAGUGGCUUGCCAUUGCCUUCUCCGACAAGAUACCAUAAACACAUUUAAAAGUCAAUCAAUUGGUGGGGCACCCGAGGGCUGGCUCCCUGCCAUGAGGCAGAUCAACAGCAUGGCUGGCCUCGCCUCCACAUCCGCUGCUGCCUCCAGUUCCCGGCAGCUGCCUGCAGGGAGGCUGACAGGUGGGGCUGGGCCCGAGCCACGUGAGUGCAACCUUGGAUCUGACA
rnacentral:snoRNA from 1 species